GUCCCCGUAGCUCAGUCGGAUAGAGCAUCAGAUUCCUAAUCUGAGGGCCGCAGGUUCGAAUCCUGCCGGGGACGCCA
rnacentral:tRNA from 1 species